GAACACAAAAUGGCGACACGUGGUUAGCAUUCGUCGCCAACGAGAAAUUGGGGUCGGCCCGAAAGCUCUAGAAUGCACCCCCCUUCUUCCCCGGGGCCUUCCACCUCCGCGAGUUUUAUGACUUAAAAAACCCCACAGGCUGGUCUGAAGAGGAAGACAAACAUAAAGAUGAAGUGCUUAAUUCAAGGUCACACAAUGUCGGGGAUGGACCUCCAGAUUUCCUUACUGACCUGCAUUAUCUUGUGGAUACCUGAGUGAAUUCCACACCACCCAUUUUAUAGAUGAAACCACUGAGACAUGGAGCAACUGACUGAGUAGUCACUGCCCCACCCCUGCCUGGAGCCUCACACAUGACUCGUCUCCUCUCAGUGACCACAGGUGAGACGUGGUCUUGUAACACAGUGGUUAAGAAUGUGACUUUGGAGCCAGCCUGCUAGGGGCUGAAUUCUGACUCAGCCAUUUACUAACUGUGUGACCUUAGGUCACAGAAUUUUCCACACUCCUUGACGGAGGUGCUUAACCCUUAUCCAUCAGCAUUCUCAGACAG
rnacentral:antisense_RNA from 1 species